UUGGGCUGCGGAAGAUACUGUUGGGCUAGGGGGCGGGAGAGGUUGACGGUAUUCCCGGGGUAGGGGUGAAAUCCUAUAAUCCCGGGAGGACCACCAGUGGCGAAGGCUGUCGGCUAGAACGCGCUCGACAGUGAGGGACGAAAGCUGGGGGAGCGAACCGGAUUAGAUACCCGGGUAGUCCCAGCUGUAAACGAUGCGGGCUAGGUGUUGGGGUGGCUACGAGCCACCUCAGUGCCGCAGGGAAACCGUUAAGCCCGCCGCCUGGGAAGUACGGCCGCAAGGCUGAAACUUAAAGGAAUUGGCGGGGGAGCACCACAAGGCGUGAAGCUUGCGGUUUAAUUGGAGUCAACGCCGGGAACCUUACCGGGGGCGACAGCAGGAUGAAGGCCAGAUUGAAGGUCUUGCUGGACAAGCUGAGAGGAGGUGCAUGGCCGUCGCCAGUUCGUGCCGUGAGGUGUCCUGUUAAGUCAGGCAACGAUCGAGACCCGCACCCUUAGUUGCAACCUUUGCGGAAUCCGCAAGGGGCACACUACGGGAACUGCCGCCGAUAAGGUGGAGGAAGGAGCGGGCCACGGCAGGUCAGUAUGCCCCGAAUCCCCCGGGCCACACGCGAGCUGCAAUGGCAGGACAAUGGGUUCCAACCUUGAAAAGGGAAAGUAAUCCCCAAACCCUGCCUCAGUUGGGAUCGAGGGCUGCAACCCGCCCUCGUGAACAUGGAAUGCCUA
rnacentral:rRNA from 1 species